rnacentral:rRNA from 1 species
AACGAACGCUGGCGGCAUGCCUAACACAUGCAAGUCGAACGAGACCUUCGGGUCUAGUGGCGCACGGGUGCGUAACGCGUGGGAACCUGCCCUUAGGUUCGGCAUAACUCCCCGAAAGGGGUGCUAAUACCGGAUAAUGUCUUCGGACCAAAGAUUUAUCGCCUUUGGAUGGGCCCGCGUUGGAUUAGCUAGUUGGUAGGGUAAAAGCCUACCAAGGCGACGAUUCAUAGCUGGUUUGAGAGGAUGAUCAGCCACACUGGGACUGAGACACGGCCCAGACUCCUACGGGAGGCAGCAGUGGGGAAUAUUGGACAAUGGGCGAAAGCCUGAUCCAGCAAUGCCGCGUGAGUGAUGAAGGCCUUAGGGUUGUAAAGCUCUUUUACCCGGGAUGAUAAUGACAGUACCGGGAGAAUAAGCUCCGGCUAACUCCGUG